rnacentral:rRNA from 1 species
GACGAACGCUGGUGGCGUGCUUAACAAAUGCAAGUCGAACGAGUGGGAACGGGUGAGUAAUACGCGGGUAACCUCCCAUCAGAGGGGAUAACACUUGGAAACAGGUGCUAAACCGAUACUGAUGGAUGGACCCGCGGUGCAUUAGCUAGUUGGUGAGUUAACGGCUAACCAAGGCACCGAUGCCGAGCCGAACUGAGAGGUGGUUCGGCCACACUGGGGCUUAGACACUGCCCAUACUCCUACGGGAGGAAGCAGUAGGGAAUUGUCGGCAAUGGACGAAAGUCUGACCGAGCAACGCCGCGUGAGUGAAGAAGGUUUUCGGAUCGUAAAACUCUGUUGUUAGAGAAGCGGUAUCUAACCAGAAAGCAACGGCUAACUACGUGCCAGCAGCCGCGGUAAUUC